ACGCGCGCUCCGGGGUCGGUGAAAGUCCGAACCGGCGGUGACAGUCCGCGACCCGCCCGCAGGUACUGGGGCGGUUGACCCGGUGGAACUCCGGGACCGACGGUGAAAGUCCGGAUGGGAGGACGCGCGC
rnacentral:ncRNA from 1 species